AGUGAACGCUGGCGGCAGGCCUAACACAUGCAAGUCGAACGGCAGCACAAGAGCGCUUGCUCUCUGGGUGGCGAGUGGCGGACGGGUGAGGAAUGCAUCGGAAUCUGCCCAUUUGUGGGGGAUAACCUCGGGAAACCGGGACUAAUACCGCAUACGACCUACGGGUGAAAGCAGGGGAUCUUCGGACCUUGCGCAGAUGGAUGAGCCGAUGCCGGAUUAGCUAGUUGGAGGGGUAAAGGCCCACCAAGGCGACGAUCCGUAGCUGGUCUGAGAGGAUGAUCAGCCACACUGGGACUGAGACGCGGCCCAGACUCCUACGGGAGGCAGCAGUGGGGAAUAUUGGACAAUGGGCGCAAGCCUGAUCCAGCCAUGCCGCGUGUGUGAAGAAGGCCUUCGGGUUGUAAAGCACUUUUGUUGGGAAAGAAAAGCAGCCGGUUAAUACCCGGUUGUCAUGACGGUACCCAAAGAAUAAGCACCGGCUAACUUCGUG
rnacentral:rRNA from 1 species